UGCAUUUUAUUCUCUUGUGUUCUUUGUCUAGUGAUGUUCAAAUUGUUGGGGAGCUUGUUACAAAUACUUUUUAAAAUGUCAACAACAUUCUAUUUCAGCCCCUAUCCCUUUUUUUUAUUCUUGCUAUGUCUGGUGUUUGGUAUUGCAGGCAGAGCUCGAGUCUUUUAAAAUGGAAUAUGCAAAUGCACGACUGGAAUGUAAUGUAGCUGAUGAACGUGCUAAUAUAUUGGCUUCUGAAGUCAUUGGUUUGGAAGAGAAGGCACGUCGAUUAAGGUCAAAUGAGCUAAAAUUGGAGAGGCAAUUGGAGAACUCACAGGCUGAAAUUUCUUCUUUCAA